rnacentral:rRNA from 1 species
GACGAACGCUGGCGGCGUGCUUAACACAUGCAAGUCGAACGGAAAGGCCCUGCUUUUGUGGGGUGCUCGAGUGGCGAACGGGUGAGUAACACGCGAGUAACCUGCCCUUGACUUUGGGAUAACUUCAGGAAACUGGGGCUAAUAUCGGAUAGAAGCUCCUGCUGCAUGGGGGGGGUUGGAAAGUUUCGGCGGUGUGGGAUGGACUCGCGGCUUAUCAGCUUGUUGGGGGGGUAGGGGCUUACCAAGGCUUUGACGGGUAGCCGGCCUUAGAGGGUGACCGGCCACCUUGGGACUGCGAUACGGCCCAGACGCCUACGGGAGGCAGCAGUGGGGAAUAUUGCACAAUGGGCGGAAGCCUGAUGCAGCAACGCCGCGUGCGGGAUGAAGGCCUUCGGGUUGUAAACCGCUUUCGCCUGUGACGAAGCGUGAGUGACGGUAAUGGGUAAAGAAGCACCGGCUAACUACGUG